AAUAAAAUGACCAUAGUACUGCUUCUAGCACGAACACUCAUUUUUGGAACGUCAAAAAGCCUCCAAAUUUGCAAAUAUGUAUGCGUGUACGAUUGCAUGUAUUGUGUGUUUUUAUUCACAUCAAGAAAUCAUGACUUCUAUCUUUACGAGAAAAUGCAAGGCCUAUUUUGAUUGCAUUAGCCUUCGAAUAUUUCUUAUGUUCAUGCUAGUAGCAGAGCUGUGACGAAGUAGGAAAAGAU